GACGAACGCUGGCGGCGUGCUUAACACAUGCAAGUCGAACGGACAGGCCCUGCUUUUGUGGGGUGCUCGUGUGGCGAACGGGUGAGUUACACGUGAGUAACCUGCCCUUGACUUUGGUAUCACUUCAGGAAACUGGGGCUAAUACCGGAUAGGAGCUCCUGCCGCAUGGUGGGUGUUGGAUAGUUUCGGCGGUUGGGGAUGGACUGGCUGCUUAUCAGCUUCUUGGUGGGGUAGUGGCUUACCAUGUCUUUGACGUGUUGCCGACCUGAGAGGCGAAGCGGACACAUUGCGACUGAGAUACGACCCAGACUCCUACGGGAGGCAGCGGAGGAGAAUAGUGUACAGUAGGAGGAAGCGAGAUGCAACGACGCCGCGUGCGGGAAGACGGGCUGCGGGUGGGAAACCGAUUUCGCAUGUGACGAAGCGUGAGUGACGGUAAUGGAUAAAGAAGCACCGGCUAACUACGUG
rnacentral:rRNA from 1 species